rnacentral:SRP_RNA from 1 species
GCCGGGCGUGGUGGCUCACGCCUGUAAUCCCAGCCCUUUGGGAGGCUGAGGUGGGUGGAUCACCUGAGGUCAGGAGUUCGAGACCAGCCUGACCAACAUGGAGAAACCCCAUCUCUA